rnacentral:rRNA from 1 species
UAAAACGUAGGACGCAAGCGUUAUCCGGAAUUAUUGGGCGUAAAGGGCGUUUAGGCGGCGUCUUAAGUUGGGCGUGAAAUCUUCCGGCUCAACCGGAAGGGUGCGUCCAAUACUGGGACGCUUGGGGGCAGCAGAGGGAGGUGGAAUUCCCGGUGUAGCGGUGGAAUGCGUAGAUAUCGGGAGGAACACCAGUGGCGAAGGCGGCCUCCUGGGCUGUACCUGACGCUGAAGCGCGAAAGCGUGGGGAGCAAACGGGAUUAGAUACCCCGGUAGUCCACGCCGUAAACGAUGGAUACUAGGUGUUGGUGGUAUUGACCCCACCAGUGCCGCAGCUAACGCAUUAAGUAUCCCGCCUGGGGACUACGGCCGCAAGGCUA